rnacentral:lncRNA from 1 species
CUAUAUAUUUUAUCCUCUUACAAUUGCUCAUCAAUUCUUAUGAGCUAGAUCGUUGCCAGCUGAGGGCAUGUGAGUUGGAAGUUUAUGUUUCUUGGUGUGGAUAAGCUCGAAUGACAGAGCUCGUCAAUACAUGCAAGUUGUCUUCUCAAUAUACUUGGUUGUCAUUUCAGUGUCCUGUAGUACCACACGUCAAUAUCUGAUUUGCUUGUAGCUUGGUUAGUGCAUGAAUGCCAGAGUGCCGCACCUACCCUUAGGGCCUAUAUGACACUAUUUUGGCAGGAGCUUGUGGUUAUCAGAUUGCCACGUGUCAUCGUCCUAAGGGCAUAUAUGACAUGGUUCGGAGUGAGUUUUGGUGAGGAAGACGAAGUGUCCUAAGGGCGUAUUUGGCGGUAAGUUACUUUUGGCUUUCCUAUAAAUAGUUGGCUUUCUCAUGGUCACUAUUCACCUUAUGUUUAAGAGUUUUGUAGAGAGAGAAGUUGUGCUUGAGAACUGUUAUCGUCCAUUCAUUACCGAUGUUGAUACUGUUUUUUAUGCCAAUUCUGAGGCGGUUCAUAUCCUCUGACCGCCAUUAAUCAAUACUGUGAGUCUACCAUUUUUGGAAUUUUUUUCUGCGAUAUAUAUAUUUUUUUUUGUAUUUCUUUGAUGUGGGUCAGUGUUUUAUGCCCCUGGUUUUGAAUUUUUUUUUCUUCUGUGCAUAGUCUAUCUAUAUACUCUGAAUGUCCACCAUUUAUGGGCGGUCUUUGAGAUUUUAUCUUUCAAGGGAUAGGGUUGCCCGUGAAUCCAUUUUCUCUGAUGGAAAUGGGUCCCAAAUGUGAUUGUAAUUGCAUAAUUUAAGCCUCUAUUGGUUCAUUUGUGUUGAAUAUCUAAAAAACCAUCUUCUAAGGUUAGCGUUUUGCCCCCCUCAAGCCCUUCUAUUGACGAGAUAGGAUCGAGGCAAGAGGAAGGCUUGAAAGUUGUCCCAUAGUAAAAUGUAUAUAUACCUCGUGGGAUAGAGCUCAGAGCUCUUGGAGAGCUUGACUAACUCUGUACCUAAAUGUUGAACUUCGUAGGGCAGAGCUUAGAGCUCAUGGGGAUUCAAGCUCGGCUAACUCUGCUCCCAAUGGUCCAUCAUCUUUACUUAGGUUAAGCUUUUCCUUACUGUUUUGCUUCUAUUUCAGAACAUAGAGUUGAAUUGAGCUUGACGACUAGUUUAAGGUGGCGUCGCAAUGACGAAGUUUAGGAGUGACCACGACAAAUGAUGUGCUGAUAGAGAGGCUAAGACCUAACAAGGUGGCCUCCAUAGUGGAAGGAGACAGAGAUCGCAUCCCGGUCUGCACGUGGAUUAUCUACCAAGUUGGACUUAGGUUCCCCCUUAGUCCAAUGCUGAAUGAAGUUAUGGCGCAGUGUUGGCUCACCUUCAAGCAAUUGUCGGUAAAUUUUAUCUUAAUUGCGCUUGCAGUGGACACAUUGAUGCGAAUGGAAGGGUUGUCAUUCAACGCCUACGACAUAUUGCAUGUGUACAACAUGGUAUGCCUGAAAAAAAAAAGCUUGGUACCAAUUUGUACACCGAUAUCCACUAUCUUCGGCUUUGGAAACCCCAAUAACCCCAUACAAGACUGGUAACCAAGAUCCACGACAAAGAUUAACUUAAUUAAUUUGUUGGGUCCGAAGGAUGGGAAUUCAGAGCUGGGACGAUGGCCAUCUAGUCAUUCCCCAGGCACAACGGAAAACAUUCCUUAUUAGUAACACUCUUUUUUCAUACCUCAAUUAUGUUGAUCUUCUUGCACUGUAUACUCUCCAAUUGUUGGAUCUAACAAUGCCCAUUCUGGGUGGCGUUGUACAAGAUUCAACAGCAUUUGGAAAAAAGACCAAGUAGUGCGCCGACACCACUCAAAACACGUAAAUAAUAGUCCGAUGCUCCCCGGGACCAAAAACUCAUCUCAUAAGUUGGUAUAUCCCGAGAUAUAUUCUCUACCGAGGUGGACGUGCUUGGCCUGAGUUAGGCUUUCACCCCUGGUGCAUUCGAGAUUAGGGUCCUCUAUUCAACGAUCGAGCGGACUAGAUAUUUAGAACAGAGGUUGAACAACAGUGGCUCCAACUCUAAAAGACUUGAGAGGAAGAUGAGGUAAAAGCUCUACUUCCUCAAGCUCAGUUGACCUUUUGGGAAGCAAAAAGGUAGAAGAGGUAUAAGAGAGGGAAGAGGUUGAGUAGGUUGUUGGAGCGGUAAUCCCGACUAACUUGCUUGUAGUGUGUCCUAUCCUAAAGGCCCUGAUGCUCCAGAAGAUUCUUCAUUCAAUUCCCCGCUCUGCUGGUGACGAAGUUGACCAUUCUUCGUGGAGGGCGGAAUGCGGGAUGCAACUCGAUGUAGAAUCUUCGAAAGCAAAGAAUUCACGAUGAUUGAUGCUCCACCCCAAAAAAAGUCUAAGGAAUAUUCCUACUCCCACAACCCAAACUGCUAUUCCCCCAGCACAGCCUUUAUUGAUCUGCUCCAACCUUUGUGGAGCGAGCUUGCCCACCUCCUACAUCAUAAGAAAGGCAGGUGAAGGAACCUAAUGGUCGGCCCUUCCGCAAAUGAAAAUAGGGAGGAAGAGCAAGUUUGACCAGUACCUCGAUUCCGUAUGCUACCCCCGAGCUCUGGGCUUACUAUUGCACUUUGCGACCUCGGGAAACAAUUGACUAUGGUCGACAUAGUUGAGGAUCAUGACACCUGCCUUGCCUUGUUGUUAUGCUUCAUCGAGUUAUGAUGGACCUCAUUGCAGAGGAAAUACUAGAAGCUAGAAGCCUCAUGGUCAUGCAACAUGCGCGAGUAAGUGUCCGAGUUCAAUUGUGUUAUCACCUUCAAAAUUUUUAAACACUUUUAAAUAUUUGUUUGCUUGCUUGUUGCAUAGCCUCCAGAGGGCCAUGGCUAACCUUGAGCGCCUAAAGAAACAUUCUUUCAAGCUCAAAAAGGCCUAAAAGAAAGCCAAUUUUUUUGGAGGCUGAGUUGAAGACUACCAAUGAAAAGCUCGCCGCUACAAAAAAAAGGCUCACGAUGCCAAUGCUGAGGUUGCUGCAAUGUCCCUAAUCAAAAUCAAUGUUGCUCAGGGCAAGGUGGAGAAAGCACUCCAAGAUCUGGACAAGGUUCAAAAGGUGGCACAAGGUCUGGUGUACCAGCGGGUAUUUGACCGCGGCUUCAAUCGGGAUGGGGACUACUACCUUAGACAGGUAGCUGAGUUGCACCCAAACAUAUUCCACGAAGGUUGGCUUGCCUGUUUAAAGGAGCUCAGUAUAACUCUUAAUCAUUUUUUGUGAACUACGACAUUACCUAAGGUAGUUCUUCCAAAUCCACCUAAGUCAAACUCGCCUAUGAUUCUGCCUAGCUUCAAUGAAGAAGAAUAUGCAAAUCAACCAGAAGAAGGGGAAGUAAAGGUGGAGAAGAGGUGGAGACGCCAGGUAGAAGGCGAGCUCAGGGCAAAAGUAGAAGGAAAUGGGACCGUGGAGCGCAGACAUCCCUGUGAAGUUGUUAAGUGCCUUGUACUGUAUUAAGGGGAUGGUCCUUUUUGAAAAUUUUGUAAAUAUUUUUGUGAAACAAUUGGCAUUUUGGAAUUUGAUAUAAUAUUAUAUGAAAUACUUUUUCCUCCCCACUCUGCAUUACCAUUUACUUUUGGCUUU